GUGCCAGCCGCCGCGGUAAUACCGGCAGCCCGAGUGAUGGCCGAUCUUAUUGGGCCUAAAGCGUCCGUAGCUGGCCGCGCAAGUCCGUCGGGAAAUCCAUCAGCCCAACUGAUGGGCGUCCGGCGGAAACUGCACGGCUUGGGACCGGGAGGCCUGAGGGGUACGAUCGGGGUAGGAGUGAAAUCCUGUAAUCCCGCUCGGACCGCCGAUGGGGAAACCACCUCAGGAGAACGGAUCCGACAGUGAGGGACGAAAGCCAGGGUCUCGAACCGGAUUAGAAACCCGAGUAGUCC
rnacentral:rRNA from 1 species